rnacentral:rRNA from 1 species
CCGACACGGGUGAGUAACACGUAUCCAACCUGCCGUCUACUCUUGGACAGCCUUCUGAAAGGAAGAUUAAUACAAGAUGGCAUCAUGAGUCCGCAUGUUCACAUGAUUAAAGGUAUUCCGGUAGACGAUGGGGAUGCGUUCCAUUAGAUAGUAGGCGGGGUAACGGCCCACCUAGUCUUCGAUGGAUAGGGGUUCUGAGAGGAAGGUCCCCCACAUUGGAACUGAGACACGGUCCAA